rnacentral:pre_miRNA from 1 species
AGUACAAUUGCUGGGUUAUAUGUUAAGUUUAUGUUUUACUGUAUGAGAAACUGCCAGACUGUUUUCCACAGUGGCUGUGCCCAUUUGCAUUCCCACAAGUAGU